ACAGUACAAACUGAGCAGGCGAUGCCCGAGAUGCUCGAGGGCGUGGGGCCGGGCCGCGCGAAGU
rnacentral:ncRNA from 16 species